rnacentral:lncRNA from 1 species
GGCGAUACAACAAAUGACCAAUAUCUUAGCGUGAUUGGUAGAAUAACAAGGCCAAACUCCAGUGAAUCAACCUCGGAACCCUGAGAUAGGAGAGAAUAGUGUGAUGCCCCCACUUCUCCUAAGGGCGAACCCAAGGGUAUCCGCAGAACGCCUGCCCAACUCUCGCCAGGACUCGAUACAAGUCAUAUUUAAACUUAAAGGUAUACAACUAAAAAUAAAAUUUAAAUUAAGAAAAAUCUCUCCCUUAAAUAAACUUCUAAGUCAUACAUCACAAAUAUCAAAAUUAUCUCAAUCUUCAAACUUAAAUACAACCCAAAUGAAUAUGCACUAUAGUCAUUGCUAUAAUACAAGUUGAAGUCUCCAAAAGAAAACAACUUAGAACUAUUCGCGAGUACUCUCGGUCUUGAACCCUGUUAAGGAAAACAAAAGCGUGAAAUGAACUAAACAGCCCAGUGAGGUUCCAAACUACACUAGCAGUUCUAAUAAAUCAAGUAAAUUGAGCAUAACACAUGUAUGGUUCAAGGUUGCACAUUGGCACAUUGGAAUGAAACAGUUAUCAUUGUACAGAAAUAAACACACAUUGAAAGGAUACGGUGUUCACUUGGAACAAUUUCAGUCUACUUCACCUUAUAACUCUAGUGAUCCCCUCGGUUUUGUCUAGCCAUCACCUUAUCCCUCCAGUGGUAAUACUCGAGUAUAUCGAAACGGUGGCCCAGGGUUCCAACCUACUCGACAGAGCCCAGUCCUGGCUCGAGCAGGUUAGCAACCAAGGGCAGGAUCCAGUUCAGUUUAGAGCUUACAACGUGUGCAAGUAAUCAAGUAAAUCGGCAAACGGUAGUAGUUCACGGUUAACGGUAGAAAUUUACGGUUAAACGGUAGAAAUUUAUCGUUUUAGUAGGUCGAGUGAGAUAAACUACACACUCGCCUUAAAACGGUGGACAGUUACAUAGGAGCAAUUAUAGGGUGCACUUAACACUUAAACACACAAUAACUAUGAAGUAAACAUGUAGCAAAACUAUUCAAGUCGCGUACACCUAUAAGGAACACUCACCGAAAUCAAGAGUGUAAAACAAGAGCGAGGAAAGAUCAAACGAGUUCCUCGGGAUCCUCUUGAUCACCUGAGACAUGUACAAGUACAAUUCACCCAGGUAUUCAACCAAGGUCUAGCAGUAUUCCCGUGACUCUCACUUAAGAGAUAACGCGUUCAAAUCGAAUACAAAUAUCACUUAUUAACUUAAUCCAUGAAGGUAGCAUUUGAAAAUAUCUAAGAAUACAUUAAUCCGAGUCAAAUCAUGUCCAAGAUUCUCCAAGUUGAAGAUUAAACAGAUCUCUAAGUUUUGGCACAAAAAUCGAGAAAGAUGGAUAUAUUUACUUGGAAGUUUGGUCAAAGCAUUCCGGCAUUACUAAUAAGUUCACAAGAAAUCUUUCAAAUCAUUCUUUUAAAAUACUUGUAUAAUUGCCAACUCUAGUACAAUUAUCAAGGCCAUAAGAAUAGGGGUUGAAGUCCCUAAUUUAAGUACGAAGAGAAGUACCAAUAACCAAGAGAGUUAUAUGACCAAGUAAUUGCAUCAAAAGAGGUUUAACCUUCGGAGACCAAGAUUUGAAAUGAAAGUUCAAAGUUCCAAAGAGACCUUGUAUCAAACCAUGAAAUCAAACUUAAAACAGUCCAACACUCACAAAGGAAGGUGGAAAGCUCUUAAAGGAGUAAUUUGGUUGAAACAGAAAUUUUCCAAUUUAGAGUGACAUUAUUUUGAAAAAUUGUAUCUCGAGUUUCGUAUGUCCAAAAAUGGAAAAAUUUAUACUGUUGGAAACUAAAUUCAAAGUACUAAAAGUUCUCAGAAGACAGUUUUCCAUGAUUCCAACUAGAAAGCAUUCAUAAUUCAGCUCAAAAUUUCAGUUCCAAGAAGACAGGUUUGGAUCAGUCUUGGUUUUUCAGCAACUUUGGAAAUUUGGCAUAAUUCACAGAAAACGAACUAGCCUUUGAAAUUUGUAACACAAUAAGAGUUCCAAACAAGGUUUUAAACACAACAAACGGAACUAAAUUUGGAGUUUUGAAUAUCGAGAUACAUCAGUUCAAAGUUGGUCGACUUUCAUGACAUGUCCAGUUAUUUUCCAGAUUUGAGAAGGCAUCUUUGAGGUAUCAUUUGGCCAUUGAAAUGGCAUUGAAAAUACACCAAUGGUACAUUUAAUCUUCCAUAUGUGAGCUACAUCUCUACCAAAUUUCAUGCGAAAAAUCACGUGGGAAGGCAGUUAACAAAAUAAUCAAAGUUCUUGAGAUUCCCAAAGCAAAUCUGCCAUCUCACCAUUUUCUUUCUUUCCAAAAGCUUAUUACCAUGAAAUCAGUCCCAAUCCACUUCAUUUUUGAAACCAAGGUCCCAUAAACAUUUGAUAAGCAAUUGGUGGGUAAUUGACAUCAAAAUUUUUGAAAUAAAACCUCCCACAACAAACUAGACCAGUUGGCCAGCAAGAAGGAAAAGUUUUCCAGUUUUCCAGUUUUGCUACAGUUUGGAAAUUGAACCAUAUCUCACUCAGUACAACUUGAAAUUGAGAAUUGUUGGUGGCGUUGAAAACUAGGUUCAAAAUUCCACAUUUCAUCAAAAGAAAUCAUUUUCAAAAUCAGUUUACAAGUAGUUCAAAUUCAAGCCACAAGUUACAGCUUCUCAUUUCCAUUCGAAUGGAACAGGCAGACAGAGCAGAACAGAACAGCCGACUUUAUCAGUUCACUGCAGUUCACACAAAAUGAACUAAACAACAAUUUUUAUACUGUUUUAAAGCUAAGAAUGUCUAGUUUCAAAUGCCGUAAACGGCACUCGAUUUUGACUUUUGUACAAAGAGAUAUGUUCGGUUAAAGAACACUGCCAGUGAACCACUGUUAUACUUUUUUUGAGAUUUUGUUCUGCGAAAGCUCAAAUUUUGUUCAACUAUUCAAAUGAUUUUUGGUAAAAAUUUUCUACACGCAAUAUACCUCAUAUAUACAUCAGUUUCACAAUCAUUUGAGCGUUAAAAAUUUGAAAUAUAGGCAAGGCAAUAACAGGAUAGAUUCGGCCAGCUUACUUCCUUUCACGGUUUUCUCUCUUUCUUUUUCCUCUUCUAGUUUCUUCUAGUAAAAUCCAUCACAAACACACUAACACACACAUAAACAUCAUGGUAGUCCUAAUUUAACUAAGGUGGGAGUUCAUAGAGUCCACUUCAACCAACCAAAUCCAAGCAACAACAACAAUAAGGAAGCUACAAGCUUCAAAACCAAGAAAUAAAACAAGAAAGUAAAAGCUUUGGUAGAGAUGUUUAUACCUUCAAAACUCAAGAUAAAACCCUAGAUGAAACCAGAAAUUUUUAGCCAAAACUCUCCAAGAAAAGUCCUCAAGAUGAUGUCUUUCUCCAAGAUGAAACUAAUCUCCAAGAACAAGAAGAUUGGAUGAAGUUUUGCUAGCAAGAUGGGAGCUUGAAAUGGAGUUUUUUCCUUCUUCCUUUUCUUGUUUUGAGGCUGGCCGAGAGUGAGGAGAGAGAUGAGGGAGUUUGGUGGUUUGAUU